rnacentral:rRNA from 1 species
GAUGAACGCUAGCUACAGGCUUAACACAUGCAAGUCGAGGGGUAACGAGAGGAAAGCUUGCUUUCCUUGUCGACGACCGGCGCACGGGUGAGUAACGCGUAUCCAACCUGCCCCCAACUAGGGAAUAACCUUGCGAAAGUAAGACUAAUACCCUAUAAUUUCCUCAGAUGACAUCUGACGAGGAAUAAAGAUUUAUCGGUUGUGGAUGGGGAUGCGUCUGAUUAGCUUGUUGGCGGGGUAACGGCCCACCAAGGCAACGAUCAGGAGGGGUUCUGAGAGGAAGGUCCCCCACAUUGGAACUGAGACACAGUCCAAACUCCUACGGGAGGCAGCAGUGAGGAAUAUUGGUCAAUGGGCGAAAGCCUGAACCAGCCAAGUAGCGUGCAGGAUGACGGCCCUAUGGGUUGUAAACUGCUUUUAUACAGGAAUAAAGUUAGCCACGUGUGGUUAUUUGUAGGUACUGUAUGAAUAAGGACCGGCUAAUUCCGUGCCAGCCGCCGCAGUAA